GGGAAUGUGGCUUAGUGGUAGGUAGAGUGCUUGCCUACCAUGCAUGAAGCCCUAGGUUCGAUUCCUCACUUACCA
rnacentral:tRNA from 1 species